rnacentral:lncRNA from 1 species
GCCAGUCCUUCCUGUGCUAGUCUCGUAAUAGUGAAUAAAUCUCACGAGAUCUGAUGGGUUUAUCAGGGGGUUCCGCUUUUGCUUCUUCCUCAUUUUUUCUUGCUGCCAUGUAAGAAGUGCCUUUCGCCUCCUGCCAUGAUUCUGAGUCCUCCUCAGCCAUGUGGAACUGUAAGUCCAAUGAAACCUCUUUUUCUUCCCAGUCUCAGGUAUGUCUUUAUCAGCUGCCUGAAAAUGGACUAAUACAGUAAAUUGGCACCAAUAGAGUGGGGCAUUGCUGAAAAGAUACCCGAAAAUGUGGAAGUGACUUUGGAACUGGGUAACAGGCAGAGAUUGGAACAGUUUGAAGGGCUCAGAAGAAGACAGGAAAAUUUGCAGCCUGACUAUGCAACAGAAAAGAAAACCCCAUUUUCUGGGGAGAAAUUCAAGCUGGCUGCAGAAAUUAGCAUAAGUAGCAAGGAGCCUAAUGUUAAUCCCCAAGACCAUGGGGAAAAUGUCUCCAGGCUAUGUCAGAGACCUUCAUGGAGGCCCCUCCCAUCACGGGACCAGAGGCCCAGGAGGAAACUGUGGUUUUGUAGGCCAUGCCCAGGGUCCCUGUGCUGUGUGCAAUCUAGGGACUUGGUGCCCUGUGUCCCAGCUGCUCCAGCCAUGGCUGAAAGGGGCCAAUGUAUAGUCGGGCUGUGGCUUCAGAGGGUGCAAGCCCAAGCCUUGGCAGCUUCCACAUGGUAUUGAUCCUGUGGGUGCACAGAAGUCAAGAAUUGAGGUUUGGGAACCUCUGCCUAGAUUUCAGAAGAUGUAUGGAAAUGCAUAGAUGCCCAGGCAGAAGUUUGUUGCAGGGGCAGGGCCUUCAUGAAGAACCUCUGUUAGGGCAGUGCAGAAGGAAAAUGUGGGAUUGGAGCCCCCACACAGAGUCCCUACUGGGGCACUGCCUAGUGGAGCUGUGAGAAGAUGGCCACUGACCUCCAGACCCCAGAAUAGUAGAUCCAUCUACCACUUGCACCAUGCACCUGGAAAAGCUGUAGACACUCAGUGCCAGACUAUGAAAACAGCCAGGAGGGAGGCUGUACCCUGCAAAGCCACAAGGGCAGAGCUGCCCAAGACCGUGGGAACCUACGUUUUACAUCAGCAUGACCUUGAUGUCUAAGGAGAUCAUUUUGGAGCUUUAAAAUUUGACUGUCCUGCUCUCCCUCUCCCUCUCCCUCUCCCUCUCCCCACGGUCUCCCUCUCCCUCUCUUUCCACGGUCUCCCUCUGAUGCCGAGCCGAAGCUGGACUGUACUGCUGCCAUCUCGGCUCACUGCAACCUCCCUGCCUGAUUCUCCUGCCUCAGCCUGCAGAGUGCCUGCGAUUGCAGGCGCGCGCUGCCACGCCUGACUGGUUUUCGUAUUUUUUUGGUGGAGACGGGGUUUCGCUGUGUUGGCCGGGCUGGUCUCCAGCUCCUAACCGCGAGUGAUCCGCCAGCCUCGGCCUCCCGAGGUGCCGGGAUUGCAGACGGAGUCUGGUUCACUCAGCGCUCAAUGGUGCCCAGGCUGGAGUGCAGUGGCGUGAUCUCGGCUCGCUACAACCUCCACCUCCCAGCCGCCUGCCUUGGCCCCCCAAAGUGCCGAGAUUGCAGCCUCUGCCCGGCCGCCACCCCGUCUGGGAAGUAAGGAGCAUCUCUGCCUGGCCGCCCAUCGUCUGGGAUGUGAGGAGCCCCUCUGCCUGGCUACCCAGUCUGGAAAAUGAGGAGCGUCUCUGCCCGGCCGCCAUCCCAUAUAGGAAGUGAGGAGCGCCUCUUCCCGACCGCCAUCCCAUCUAGGAAGUGAGGAGCGUCUCUGCCCGUCCGCCCAUCGUCUGAGAUGUGGGGAGCGCCUCUGCCCUGCCACCCCGUCUGGGAUGUGAGGAGCGCCUCGUCUGGGAGGUGAGGAGCAUCUCUGACCGGUCGCCCCGUCUGAGAAGUGAGGAGACCCUCCGCCUGGCAACCGCCCCCUCUGAGAAGUGAGGAGCCCCUCCACCCGGCAGCCGCCACGUCAGAGAAGUGAGGAGCCCCUCCGCCUGGCAGCCACCCCGUCUGGGAAGUGAGGAGCUUCUCCGCCCGGCAGCCACCCCGUCCGGGAGGGAGGUGGGAGUCAACCCCCACCAGGCCAGCUGCCCCGUCUGGGAGGGAGGUGGGGGUGUCAGACCCCGCCCGGCCAGCCGCCCUGUCCGGGAGGUGAGGGCCGCCUCUGCCCGGCCGCCCCUACUGGGAAGUGAGGAGCUCCUCUGCCCGGCCAGCCGCCCCGUCCGGGAGGGAGGUUGGGGGGUCAGCCCCCCGCCCGGCCAGCCGCCCCAUCCGGGAGGGAGGUGGGGGGGUCAGCCCCCCGCCCGGCCAGCCGCCCCGUCCGGGAGGGAGGUGGGGGGGUCAGCCCCCCGCCCGGCCAGCCGCCCCGUCCGGGAGGGAGGUGGGGGGGUCAGCCCCCCGCCUGGCCAGCCGCCCCGUCCGGGAGGUGAGGGGCGCCUCUGCCCGGCCGCCCCUACUGGGAAGUGAGGAGCCCCUCUGCUCGGCCAGCCGCCCCGUCCGGGAGGGAGGUGGGGGGGUCAGCCCCCCGCCCGGCCAGCCGCCCCGUCCGGGAGGUGAGGGCCGCCUCUGCCCGGCCGCCCCUACUGGGAAGUGAGGAGCCCCUCUGCUCGGCCAGCCGCCCCGUCCGGGAGGGAGGUGGGGGGGUCAGCCCCCCGCCCGGCCAGCCGCCCCGUCCGGGAGGUGAGGGCCGCCUCUGCCCGUCCCUACUGGGAAGUGAGGAGCCCCUCUGCUCGGCCAGCCGCCCCGUCCGGGAGGGAGGUGGGGGGGUCAGCCCCCCGCCCGGCCAGCCGCCCCGUCCGGGAGGUGAGGGCCGCCUCUGCCCGGCCGCCCCUACUGGGAAGUGAGGAGCCCCUCUGCUCGGCCAGCCGCCCCGUCCGGGAGGGAGGUGGGGGGGUCAGCCCCCCGCCCGGCCAGCCGCCCUGUCCGGGAGGUGAGGGCCGCCUCUGCCCGGCCGCCCCUACUGGGAAGUGAGGAGCCCCUCUGCUCGGCCAGCCGCCCCGUCCGGGAGGGAGGUGGGGGGGUCAGCCCCCCGCCCGGCCAGCCGCCCCGUCCGGGAGGGAGGUGGGGGGGUCAGCCCCCCGCCUGGCCAGCCGCCCCGUCCGGGAGGUGAGGGGCGCCUCUGCCCGGCCGCCCCUACUGGGAAGUGAGGAGCCCCUCUGCUCGGCCAGCCGCCCCGUCCGGGAGGGAGGUGGGGGGUCAGCCCCCCACCCGGCCAGCCGCCCCGUCCGGGAGGUGAGGGGCGCCUCUGCCCGGCUGCCCUUACUGGGAAGUGAGGAGCCCCUCUGCCCGGCCGCCACCCCGUCUGGGAGGUGUGCCCAGCAGCUCAUUGAGAACGGGCCAUGAUGACAAUGGCGGUUUUGUGGAAUAGAAAGGGGGGAAAGGUGGGGAAAAGAUUGAGAGGUUGGAUGGUUGCCGUGUCUGUGUAGAAAGAGGUAGACAUGGGAGACUUCUCAUUUUGUUCUGUACUAAGAAAAAUUAUUCUGCCUUGGGAUCCUGUUGAUCUGUGACCUUACCCCCAACCCUGUGCUCUCUGAAACAUGUGCUGUGUCCACUCAGGGUUAAAUGGAUUAAGGGCGGUGCAAGAUGUGCUUUGUUAAACAGAUGCUUGAAGGCAGCAUGCUCGUUAAAAGUCAUCACCACUCCCUAAUCUCAAGUACCCCGGGACACAAACACUGCGGAAGGCCGCAGGGUCCUCUGCCUAGGAAAACCAGAGACCUUUGUUCACUUGUUUAUCUGCUGACCUUCCCUCCACUAUUGUCCAAUGACCCUGCCAAAUCCCCCUCUGCGAGAAACACCCAAGAAUGAUCAAUAAAAAAAAAUAAAAAAUAAAAACAUUAUAUUAUCGACUAUACCUUAAAUUAUAAUAAAAAGUUAUAUAUGUAAAAUUUGACUGUCCUGCUGGAUUUUGAACUUGCAUGGGCCUUGUAACCCCUUUGUUUUGGCCACUUUCUCCCAUUUGGAAUGGCUGUAUUUACCCAAUACCUGUAUUCCCAUUGUAUCUAGGAAGUAACUAGCUUGCUUUUGAAUUUACAGGCUCAUAGACAGAGACUUUGGGGGACUGUUGGGAAGGCAUAAUUAGUUUUGAAAUGUGAAGACAUGAGAUUUGGAGGGGCCAGGCAGGGGCAGAAUGAUAUGGUUUGGCUGCGUCCCCACCCAAAUCUCAACUUGGAUUGUAUCUCCCAGAACUCCCAUGUGUUGUGGGAGGGACCCAGCGGGGAGGUAAUUGACUCAUGGGGACUGGUCAUUCCCAACGCUAUUCUCGUGAUAGUGAACAAGUCUCACAAGAUCUGAUGGGUUUAUCAGGGGGUUCCGCUUUUGCUUCUUCCUCAUCUUCUCUUGCUGCCACGAUGUAAGAAGUGCCUUUUGCCUCCUGCCAUGAUUCUGAGGUCUCCCCAGCCAUGUGGAAUUGUAAGUCCAAUUAAACCUCUUUUUCAUCCCAGUCUCGGGUAUGUCUUUAUCAGCUGUGUGAAAACAGACUAAUACACUCAGG